rnacentral:rRNA from 1 species
UACGGAGGAUCCAAGCGUUAUCCGGAUUUAUUGGGUUUAAAGGGUGCGUAGGCGGCCUGUUAAGUUAGGGGUGAAAGACGGUAGCUCAACUAUCGCAGUGCCCUUGAUACUGAUGGGCUUGAAUUGACUAGAGGUAGGCGGAAUGUGACAAGUAGCGGUGAAAUGCAUAGAUAUGUCACAGAACACCGAUUGCGAAGGCAGCUUACUAUGGUCUUAUUGACGCUGAGGCACGAAAGCGUGGGGAUCAAACAGG